ACGGGUGAGUAACGUCCGGGAACAGGGGAAGUGGUACGGAACAACCCAGGGAAACUUGGGCUAAUACCGUAUUUCCCCCAGGGGGAAAGAUUUAUCGCCAUUGGACGGGCCCGCGUUGGAUUAGCUAGUUGGUGGGGUAAUGGCCUACCAAGGCAACGAUCCAUAGCUGGUCUGAGAGGAUGAUCAGCCACACUGGGACUGAGACACGGCCCAGACUCCUACGGGAGGCAGCAGUGGG
rnacentral:rRNA from 1 species